UUUCAACCAAUCUACAUGGCCAAAUCUAAGUAUUCAAAAAUUUAUAAUUCGAUUUCUUUAUUGAAAGCAUCACGACUAAGACUAAAUCCUAAACUCUGAAAUCGAAAAAUCCAUGCUGAGUACGUCUUUUGGUCUUGUAAAUGUACAGCAUGCUCCUGUGCGAGUGCAACAUCUCUACUCAAAAGCUAAAAACCAUAUCAGAUACACUCUCUC
rnacentral:lncRNA from 1 species